UUACAGAAUCAUCUAGGUUGGAAAAGACCUUGAAGAUCAUCCAGUCCAACCAUUAACCUAGCACUGACCAUUCUCAACUACAUCAUAUCCCUCAGCGUUAUAUCAUCUGCUUCUUCAGA